rnacentral:rRNA from 1 species
GCAGUGAAUAGGCCCAGGCGACUGUUUAGCAAAAACACAGGUCUCUGCAAAACCGUAAGGUGACGUAUAGGGGCUGACGCCUGCCCGGUGCUGGAAGGUUAAGAGGAGUGCUUAGCUUCGGCGAAGGGACGAAUUGAAGCCCCAGUAAACGGCGGCCGUAACUAUAACGGUCCUAAGGUAGCGAAAUUCCUUGUCGGGUAAGUUCCGACCCGCACGAAAGGCGCAACGAUCUGGGCACUGUCUCAACGAGAGACU